rnacentral:rRNA from 1 species
GACGAACGCUGGCGGCGUGCCUAAUACAUGCAAGUCGAGCGAGCUUGCCUAGAUGAAUUUGGUGCUUGCACCAAAUGAAACUAGAUACAAGCGAGCGGCGGACGGGUGAGUAACAUGUGGGUAACCUGCCCAAGAGACUGGGAUAACACCUGGAAACAGAUGCUAAUACCGGAUAACAACACUAGACGCAUGUCUAGAGUUUAAAAGAUGGUUCUGCUAUCACUCUUGGAUGGACCUGCGGUGCAUUAGCUAGUUGGUAAGGUAACGGCUUACCAAGGCAAUGAUGCAUAGCCGAGUUGAGAGACUGAUCGGCCACAUUGGGACUGAGACACGGCCCAAACUCCUACGGGAGGCAGCAGUAGGGAAUCUUCCACAAUGGACGCAAGUCUGAUGGAGCAACGCCGCGUGAGUGAAGAAGGGUUUCGGCUCGUAAAGCUCUGUUGGUAGUGAAGAAAGAUAGAGGUAGUAACUGGCCUUUAUUUGACGGUAAUUACUUAGAAAGUCACGGCUAACUACGUGCCAGCAGCCGCGGUAAUACGUAGGUGGCAAGCGUUGUCCGGAUUUAUUGGGCGUAAAGCGAGUGCAGGCGGUUCAAUAAGUCUGAUGUGAAAGCCUUCGGCUCAACCGGAGAAUUGCAUCAGAAACUGUUGAACUUGAGUGCAGAAGAGGAGAGUGGAACUCCAUGUGUAGCGGUGGAAUGCGUAGAUAUAUGGAAGAACACCAGUGGCGAAGGCGGCUCUCUGGUCUGCAACUGACGCUGAGGCUCGAAAGCAUGGGGUAGCGAACAGG